CCAACAAAUCGUAGAAACUCUGGGUGUUGACAUAAACGUUAUCAACAGCGGUGGCGGACGAGGCCCUAAUUGGGCUGGUUCUGUUGGAUUUGGAAUGAGUUCUGAGGGAAAAGCUCGAUUUUUGGAAAUGGGUAUUGAAUCCAAGAUGAGAAGAUGGCUUAAGAAAGGGUAUUUGGGUUGAGAGUUUGGGUUUUGAGAUUGUGUGGAAGCUCGCUUGGCUUCCAGUGGAAACCAUUCCGCUGCUCAUAUUUCUCUCUGUUUUUGUGAUGCUCUGCAACUUGUUUUCAAGGAAUGAAUUGCAUUGAGAAGAUGAAGCUUCGAAGUCACAUAUUUAAAGGAAAGGAUCGAGGGGGAACGAGGGGAGCCUCGGGGGAG
rnacentral:misc_RNA from 1 species